AUUCAGGCUGCAUUUCUGGAUUUCUUUUGGCUGAUAACAUUUGAAGUGCCGCACUGAAUUAAUUAAGCUAUGCCAAACCUGCACCCUAUUCCUUCACCGCUGGGCCCGGGGGCUGUGAAUUACUUCAAUUUAGCUCAACAACUGACACCUGUCUGAGCUCCCAGGCACACGCGAGGCUGUAAAGGUUGAAAAAGCACCUGAUUAGCAGAAAAUCACAGAAUGAAGCUUGUGAUUUCAGCCUUUGACCCCUGGGAAGGAUGGGGCAGCUGAAGGAGGCUGUAAAGCAGAAGAAACUUCCAAGUACCUCCAAACCUAUUCCUAGUUUAUUUUUAGACGGACUAGAUUUCAAGUUGACAGAUUUCCAAUAUUUUGUUGAAGCCAUCUUUUUAACAAAAAGAGCCUGUCAAGAGGAAGAUACCGACUGUACCGUGUCACAGUAACGCAGCCCGGCAGGGUUCAAAGCCUAACCACGUCCCAUCGCUAGAUAGCACAGCACACAUCUUCAGUUAGCUGCCUUGAGUCAGCAAACUUUUAUGGAGGUUGCAUCGCAGUUCACUGACUCCUCUGCCAGACUUUCAUAGUUCACCCUUGUUUUGCAAUGCCUUGUCCUCAGCAGGAAUCACUGCCGGGAGACAGCAACUUUCGGUGUUAUUCCCUGGUACGGAGCUAAAAACAUCAAGGAGGAAGAGACCUCCAAAUGUACUAAACUUCCUGUAAACUGAAAAUUAAUGUUUCAAUCUGAAGACCACAGCAUCUUGUAAUCAAUGAGAGCCAUUUGUGGAUCUCAGUGUUACAGAAAAAAAAAAAGAAGGAAGGAAAACCUGUAUUUUACACCUGGCUAUGUUUUAAUGAGGAAAAAUGUGUUAAUUAGGGAUCAAGCACCUCUUCCUCAAACCUCAGUGGAUUAAGUGCCACAUUUGAGUCUUGAGUCUCUGAUAAAGAACACAAUAUUUGAUUAUUAUUUUUUUAAGAAGUGCAAUCACUAUAAAAUAGGGUGAUAAAGGUUGUUUUUUGUUUCUUUUUAGUAACAGUUGUGCUACAACUUGGCUUAUUUUUACUGAGCAACAUAUUGCAAUACUGAGAAGGAUACAAGCUGACUUAAUUUAAUCUGUGUGUUAAAAUUAUUAAUAACUUUAAUAUUGCCAACAAAACAGGCAAUUAAAGCAGUUUUAAAACACUUUUUUUUUAUCUGAAAUGUGCUUGUCUUCGUCUAGAUCAGAGUUACAAUGCCCAUGUAACCCUGGCGUAUACAAGAAUGUGGCUCCCUCGUUUUUUCUGAUAACUCUCUCAUGCUCAUCCAGCUAUUUUUGGCUUGCGGACCUACCCACAUUACUCACGUAAUUUACAUGGGAGAAACAGUUUGAAAGACAGUUAAAAACAAACCCCGGAACACAUAAUGAGAGCUAAUCACCACCUACGGAAGCAAUAAACACCAAAAUUUCAGAGGUAAUUUCCAGGUGCAGAAAGGCAUGCACAUGAU